CUGGCCCUCCAUUUUAAUACCCUUAUCUCCUGGAGCAACCCCACCCCGCGCAUCUGAAUUCCCCGGCCUCGCGGGGGAAGGAAAGCCUAGCUGGCCAGGCCAGCGGUGCUGCCGCUUCCUCGCCGUUGCCUCGCUCCGAUCCCGCCUCUCAUCGGCUCGCAGCAGCCGCCGCCGCGCGCGGCAUCCACAAGGGGCGAACCCUAACCUAAAGCCUCAGCUCGAUCAGCUGGAGGAGCGUCCAGCCUGCCAUGCCACGCCAGGAGCGCCUGGCCUGGUGCGCGACCUGGCCCACCUCCCCGCUAUAAAUCGGCACGGCCGGUACGCGCUCCUCCUCGACCCACCACCGCCAGACGCCAGCAGAUUAGCGGCCAAAGCACACCCAGGUGUUCGCGUCUUUCUCGCCGGCCAUGGACCAGGGAGGCGCGGCCGGGGUCAAGGGAGGGAGGGAGGGAGGGAGCGGCGGGCGGGCGGGAUGGAUGGAUGGCGGCUGCCGGUCCGGCGGGGCGGGCGCGCGCGCACGGUGACAGAAGAGAGUGAGCACACGGCCGGGCGUGACGGCACCGACGCGGAUGUGCCGUUGCGGCCGCGUGCUCACUGCUCUUUCUGUCAUCCGCUCAUGCCACGCGCCCGGGCGCGGCUCUUGCUCAACGCCGGCCGGCGCCGCGGCCCUCUGCCACGCCCUAGCUAGCCCCUUUCGGACCUGGAUUUCGUUAGCCCCUCGCGCGCGCUGCCUCCAUGGACCUGGAGCAGGGUCUUUUGGGUCUUUGCAUCUUCUUUCGCAAGAGAAUUUUGAUCUCAUCUUUGGAUUUGUUCGAUCUACCGGUCGUCUUUUACAUUCACGGCACUGUUUGAUUUGAUAAUUGAUGGAACCGGGGAACUGGGGUGGUUGCUCUUCUGGCUGCGGCCUGUGUACUUUCUCGUGUUUGUUCCCUCCCUUGCUUCCUCGGCCUCGUAAGACGCUCCUCCGUUCAUCCUUUCCGAGGAGCCCUAUACUAUUAGGGGAAGUACCACCACAUUUUUUACUUCUUUCUUGGGAAGGGAAUACAUCGUAUUUACUGUGCCAUUGAUGGAUCUUGGAAGCCGGGAUGUAGCAGCGGCAUCCGUCCAUGGAAUCUACCGGCCGGACGCAUGGAUCCGUGAUCCCUCCAUGGUUUUUUUGACCAGAUCUAUUUACCGCUCGCUAGUCAUGCACUUGUUCCCCUUCUGUCAAGUUCUUGGUUUCCUCUUUGGUUUUCACUUUUCAGGGCACUGCUAAGCUCGAGAAUGAUUCACAAGCGGCACAGUAGUGUGGAAGGAAGAGAUGAGAUGAGCCGAGCAAGUGAGAGAGCAUAGGAGACGGCGCGCGAGGAAGAGCAAGAAAAUGCAUGGAAUUUUGAGAGGAGGAGGAAGGGCACAGUACGGUGACACGGUCGGCAGAUCUGUCGCUGCUAUUUCCGGGCCUUAUCAUCUCUCGAUCGGUCGAAUUAAUUGGGGUAUAGGAAUUUGCAGGAUAUCCUCAUUUUGGGGGUCAUAUAUAUUUUUGUCCAGGAUGUUUCAACAUAAGUGCAAACAGUGAAGCUCCUAAAAAUCACAGCUAGCGUUUCAUCUUCCCAGGAGAAGCUCAAAUCGAACAGAUAUGAUAUUAACAAGAUUAAGUUCAAUAAUUCAAUGUAUCUCACUGUUGCUGGAGUAGUAUGUUUCUGAAUGUAACUUGCACUGAUCAAUAUUUUAAAUUAGCUGGGUGGAUCAUAUUAGAUCAUUUUAUGAGGAAUAAAAUCACUGACCAUGAGGCGUAGGUGGUGGGCAUCUCUGGAGAAAGUAUUGAACCUUUUAUUUGCUUGAUUUUAGUAUUGGCUCCUAAUGGUUAGUUAAAAGGUACAUUACAUAUAUGCAUGCCAUUUAAAAUGUACUUUUACUGCAAUAAUGCUAAUCCCAAGAAUACUAUGUUCUGAUGAUUGUAAUUAAACUCUACAUAUGUUCCAUGGAUUCUUCAUGUGAACAAUUAAUCGGUGUCAUGACAUUGUAUGCUAACCACCAAAGUUA